CUGUCUUUUUGCCUUUUGUUAUUUGCACUCGCAUUGUGUUGUUUGUCUCUGAAGCCGCCUCAUGACCAGCCAAGGGAUUUCACCUCGUCCUUGAGAGCUACGCGGGGAGCGCGAGCGAGCGAGCCAGAGACUGGGGGAGAGGGACGCGCGCGCGCACACACAGACACACACACACAGACACACACACACAGAGUGGAAAAGGCAAGCCACCAAACCCAUCUCCAGUCUCCUCCCGGGGGGCCCCCCAGCCCGCCACUGUGCCCCUUUGCAUCCCGCGCCCGAGGAGACGCUGAGGAAAGCCGGUAAGGCUUCUUAAUCAUCCACGGUGUAAAGGCACACUUCAAGAGGAUCCUUAGAAGUCUUGGACAAGCUUCCCCACACGUGGCAGGUGCUGUGCUGGCCACCUGUGACCCAAAGAUGAUGAUGAGGAUGUGCCUGCCAACGAGGAGUUAGCGGUCCACAGGGAUUCCUCUUGCUAAUGACACAAGUCCUGUCUGAAUCUACUUACAAGAUUCUGAAGCCUGAACAGAAAAUUUUGGCACUGCACUGGGUAGGAAAAAGAUACACUCAUAAAAUACAUAAUGCACACCUUUGAAAAAAUUG